rnacentral:rRNA from 1 species
UACGGAGGGUGCAAGCGUUAAUCGGAAUCACUGGGCGUAAAGCGCACGUAGGCGGCUUGGUCAGUCAGAUGUGAAAGCCCUGGGCUCAACCUGGGAACGGCAUUUGAUACUGCCAGGCUCGAGUCUAAGAGAGGGGGGUGGAAUUCCAGGUGUAGCGGUGAAAUGCGUAGAGAUCUGGAGGAACACCAGUGGCGAAGGCGGCCCCCUGGCUUAAGACUGACGCUGAGGUGCGAAAGCGUGGGGAGCAAACAGG